UACGAAGGGGACUAGCGUUGUUCGGAAUCACUGGGCGUAAAGCGCACGUAGGCGGAUGUGUCAGUCAGGGGUGAAAUCCCGGGGCUCAACCUCGGAACUGCCUUUGAUACAGCACGUCUCGAGUCCGGAAGAGGUGGGUGGAAUUCCUAGUGUAGAGGUGAAAUUCGUAGAUAUUAGGAAGAACACCGGUGGCGAGGGCGGCCCACUGGUCCGGUACUGACGCUGAGGUGCGAAGCGUGGGGAGCAAACAGG
rnacentral:rRNA from 1 species